GUCAUCGGUCAUCGCCUGAUUGGUUGGAAAGUGGAAACUGAAGUCGUGAUUUCCCGCGUUCUUGGAAAGGUUGGAACGAAAAUAUUUUACCAACUUAGUUGAUGGGUAUUCAUCAUACGUUUUCUAAUUGAUAAAUGGUUUUUGACUGACUGGAGCUGAAUGCCUGAUUGAACGAUAAAUAAAUGGAGACUCCUUGUAUUUCUGAAAUGCUAUCUUCAAUGUGUCCUGUACAUUUAUGUGAGUGUGAAUUUAUUCACGAGGACCUUUUUCUCUUCUUAGGUUGCAACUUAAACUGAUAAGAAAUAACUUCAUUUCAAGAAUUUCCCAUCAUUUCCUGUAAGGAUGGAUCAGCCAGGAGUUCUGUGACACGGCAAUGGGACACCACAGGACAUCAUGGCCCUCGAAUGGAAUCCAAUUCAUCAGCUAAUGGAGUUGAUUAAAGGUAAGGAUCUUGGUUUUCCGCAUUAGCUUU